GAAGAAGAAGAAGAAGAAGAAGAAGAAGAAACAACAACAACAACUAUUAUAAUUGUUAUUAUUAUUAUGAUGGAAAGUGUCGCAGACUAAGGCGACACUUGCUUACUGGCCAUGCUUCAUGAACCCUGCCAAGAAUUCCUGCAGUUCCCAGCAAUGCUGAUUUUUUGUAGCUGUUCUACCUUUACAUUUGUACCAAUCCUUUUCGGCCAUGUUGGUAGUUGAGUGCUGAUCCUUCCAACUGCACCAAUUACUAUUGACAUCACGUCUACUCACUUCAUUGAUGCCUCCUCCAAAAUGGUGUAGGCAUUGUGCAGAUGUGGUGUGCCGUGCUUAACCAAAUCCACUACAAGGCUUUGAUCGCUCCGGUGUUAUAUUUGAAGACACUUGCGCAAGGCGCAACACAAUGGGACCGAACGGAACACUACGUGGUUGAGAUGCAAAGUUCCUAUCACGCUGCUAUGCUUGCACAAGGCCCGAAAUUUUGGGGGAGGGGCCAGUCGAUUAGAUCGACCCCACUGGGCAACUGGUACUUAAUUUAUCGACCCCGAAAAGAUGAAAGGCAAAGUCGAACUCGGUGGAAUUUGAACUCAGAACAUAAAGACCGUGAAGCAUUUCGCCCGCGUGCUAACGUUUCUUAUUUCUUUAUUGCCCACAAGGGGCUACACACAGAGGGGACACACAAGGACAGACAAAGGGAUCAAGUCGAUUACAUCGACCCCAGUGCGUAACUGGUACUUAAUUUAUCGACCCUGAAAGAAUGAAAGGCAAAGUCGUCCUCGGCGGAAUUUGAACUCAGAACGAAAUUUGAAGUCAGACGAAAUACCGCUAAGCAUUUCGCCCGGCGUGCUAACGUUUCUGCCAGCUCGCCGCCCUAAGUCCAUCACAAAUAUUUAUUUCUUUAUUGCCCACAGGGGGCUAAACAGAAAGGAGAAACAAGGACAGACAAAGGGAUUAAGUCGAUUACAUCGACCCCACUGCGUAACUUAUACUUAUCUAAUCGAGGUCGACUUUGCCUUUUAUCCUUUCGGGAGGAAAGGCCAAGUCUGCCUCAGCGGAAUUUGAACUCAGAACGUAACAGCAGAAGAAAUACCGCUAAGCCCUUCAUCUGGCGUGCCAACGUUUCUGCCAGCUCGCCGCCCUAAAAUGAUCAAAAACAUUCUUUUCUACUCUAAGCACAAGGUUCGAAAGUUCGGGGAAGAGGGCCAGUCAAUUAGAUCAGCCCUACUACGCAACUGGUACUUACUUUAUCGACCUCGAACAGAUGAAUGGCAAAAUUCGACCUUGGCGGAAUAACCAUCACAAAUAUUCUUUUCUACACUAAGCACAAGGCUUGAAAUUUUGGGGGAGGGAUCCAAUUUUUUAGAUCGACCCCAAUACGCAAUCGGUACUUAAUUUAUCGACCCCGAAAGGAAUAACCAUCUCAAAUAUUGAGCCACUUUGCAAGUAACCUCACGCCAGUUCAUGAC